rnacentral:rRNA from 1 species
AGGGUUUGAUUCUGGCUCAGGAUGAACGCUGGCGGCGUGCUUAACACAUGCAAGUCGAACGAACCUUCGGGUUAGUGGCGGACGGGUGAGUAACGCGUGAGAAUCUGCCCUCAGGAGGGGGAUAACGGUUGGAAACGACCGCUAAUACCCCAUAUGCCUAUUGGUGAAAUGAAUUUCGCCUGAGGAUGAGCUCGCGUCUGAUUAGCUUGUUGGUGAGGUAAUGGCUCACCAAGGCUUCGAUCAGUAGCUGGUCUGAGAGGAUGAUCAGCCACACUGGGACUGAGACACGGCCCAGACUCCUACGGGAGGCAGCAGUGGGGAAUUUUCCGCAAUGGGCGAAAGCCUGACGGGGCAACGCCGCGUGAGGGACGAAGGCCUCUGGGCUGUAAACCUCUUUUCUCAAGGAAGAAGAUAUGACGGUACUUGAGGAAUAAGCCACGGCUAAUUCCGUGCCAGCCGCCGCGGUAAUAC